rnacentral:rRNA from 1 species
AGAGUUUGAUCCUGGCUCAGAACGUACGCUGGCGGCACGCCUAACACAUGCAAGUCGAACGAAGUAGCAAUACUUAGUGGCAGACGGGUGAGUAACAUGUAGGUAUCUGCCCUUUGGCCUGGAAUAACACGAGGAAACUUGUGCUAAUACCGGAUAAGUCUUUACGGAGAAAGCUUUAUGCACCAUUGGAUGAGCCUGCACUUGAUUAGUUUGUUGGUGGGGUAAUGGCCUACCAAGACUGUGAUCAAUAGCUGAUUUGAGAGGAUGAUCAGCCACAUUGGGACUGAGACACGGCCCAAACUCCUACGGGAGGCAGCAGUGGGGAAUCUUGCACAAUGGAGGAAACUCUGAUGCAGCGAUGCCGCGUGAGUGAAGAAGGCCCUUGGGUUGUAAAGCUCUUUCGUCGGGGAAGAAAAUGACUGUACCCGAAUAAGAAGGUCCGGCUAACUUCGUGCCAGCAGCCGCGGUAAUAC